rnacentral:rRNA from 1 species
UACAGAGGGGGCCAGCGUUAUUCGGAAUUAUUGGGCGUAAAGGGCGCGUAGGCGGCUUGACAAGUCACUUGUGAAAUCUCCGGGCUUAACUCGGAACGGCCAAGUGAAACUGUCAUGCUAGAGUGCAGAAGGGGCAAUCGGAAUUCUUGGUGUAGCGGUGAAAUGCGUAGAUAUCAAGAGGAACACCUGAGGUGAAGACGGGUUGCUGGGCUGACACUGACGCUGAGGCGCGAAAGCCAGGGGAGCAAACGGG